rnacentral:rRNA from 1 species
AUGAUGGAGGAGUAUUACAAGCACGAAACGAUAGACCGUCUGAAGUGCGACUACAUGGGGUUCAUCACCAUGGUCCGGCGGUGGUGCCCUCUCCUGCUCACGGUGACCACCACCAUGGUCACGAUGCUCCAUCGCCGAGCCCUAGUCACCAUAAUCAUCAUCAACAUGGUCCGUCACCGGCGCCUGCUCCAGCUCACGAUGCUCACCACGCUCCAGCGCCGAGCGCUAGUCACCAUCAUCAUCAUGGGCCGUCAUCGGCUCCUGCUCCCGCUCACGGUGACCACCACCAUGGUCAUGACGCUCCAGCGCCGAGCCCUAAUCAGCAUCAUCAUCAUCACCAUGGUCCGUCGUCAGCGCCUACUCCCGCUCACAAUGGUCACCAUGCUCCGGCGCCGAGCCCUACUCACCAUCAACAUCUUCACCAUGGUCCGUCGUCAGCGCCUGCUCCCGCUCACAAUGGUCACCACGCUCAAGCGCCGAGCCCUACUCACCAUCAUCGUCAUCACCAUGGUCCAGCAUCGGCGCCUGCUCCCGCUCACGGCGACCACCGCCAUGGUCACCACGCUCCACCGCCGUCGCCUAUCCACGUCGCCCCAGCUCCUGCACCCAGCCAGAACUCCCAAGCGCCGUCAGCAGCCUCUGGAGACUACUACCACUCCCCAGCUCCAGCGCCUGGUCCGGCAAGUUCUUCUUUCCGCCACACAGUCACCGGCGGAGUUGGUCUAG